AUUGAACGCUGGCGGCAUGCCUUACACAUGCAAGUCGAACGGCAGCACGGGUGCUUGCCCCUGGUGGCGAGUGGCGAACGGGUGAGUAAUACAUCGGAACAUGUCCUGUAGUGGGGGAUAGCCCGGCGAAAGCCGGAUUAAUACCGCAUACGAUCCACGGAUGAAAGCGGGGGACCUUCGGGCCUCGCGCUAUAGGGUUGGCCGAUGGCUGAUUAGCUAGUUGGUGGGGUAAAGGCCUACCAAGGCGACGAUCAGUAGCUGGUCUGAGAGGACGACCAGCCACACUGGGACUGAGACACGGCCCAGACUCCUACGGGGGGCAGCAGUGGGGAAUUUUGGACAAUGGGCGAAAGCCUGAUCCAGCAAUGCCGCGUGUGUGAAGAAGGACUUCGGGUUGUAAAGCACUUUUGUCCGGAAAGAAAUCCUUGACUCUAAUACAGUCGGGGGAUGACGGUACCGGAAGAAUAAGCACCGGCUAACUACGUG
rnacentral:rRNA from 1 species